UAAGGUGACUAUAGCGAUAGGGUUCCACCUCUUCCCAUUCCGAACAGAGAAGUUAAGCCUAUCAGCGCCGAUGGUACUACUAUGGUGGGAGAGUAGGUCGUUGCCGACU
rfam:Bacteroidetes bacterium GWA2_31_9 gwa2_scaffold_7414, whole genome shotgun sequence.